UACGUAGGGUGCGAGCGUUAAUCGGAAUUACUGGGCGUAAAGCGUGCGUAGGUGGUUCGUUGUGUCUGUGGUGAAAGCCCCGGGCUUAACCUGGGAAUGGCGAUGGAUACUGGCUCGCUAGAGUGCGGUAGGGGAGACUGGAAUUCCUGGUGUAGCGGUGAAAUGCGCAGAUAUCAGGAGGAACGCCGGUGGCGAAGGCGGGUCUCUGGGCCGAUAUUGACGCUGAGGAGCGAAAGCGUGGGGAGCGAACAGG
rnacentral:rRNA from 1 species